rnacentral:rRNA from 1 species
AUGGCGCUGCUGCGGAAGCUCUUCGCCCGGAAGGCCAUGGAUGGACUGUCGCACGUCUCCGAGCGGGUCUUCGUGUUCAACUCCUGCCUGUCGAUCGGGGCCCUCGACGAGGGCGCGCACAGGGACUACCUGACCAGCACCAUCAUCCAGCUCAAGGCCGGCAACCCGCACGCCUCGCUCAUGGUCGUCAACUUCACCGCGGCGCCGACCGGAGCCGACGCCGUGCACUCCCUCCUCGGGCACGGCGCCGCCGCCGUCGUCGCCGACUACCCGUCCAGGUACGGCGGCUGCCCGUCGCUCCCCCUCCCGAAGGUCCGCGCGUUCCUCGGCUCGUGCGUGGACUGGCUGGUCUCCGGCCACCAGCGCAACAUCCUGCUCAUGCACUGCGACGGCCACGGCGCGGCGUGGCCUGCCCUCGCGUUCGCCAUGGCUAGCUUGCUGGUGUACAUCGAGGAGGCCGCGCCGGAGCGGACGACGCUGGACGCGGUGUAUGGGAGAGCGCCGGUGGAGCUGCUCAGCGCAUGCUCGGCGCUCGACCCGCGGCCGUCUCAUCUGAGGUAUCUGCAGUAUGUGGCGAGGCUCAGGGACAAGGGGGCCCUCAUGGGCAUGAGGCAGCAGCCCUUCGUCCUCGACUGCCUGAUACUCAGAGCUGUCCCGGAUUUCGACGGCCGCGGCGGAUGCAGGCCGGUUGUUCGUGUCCACGGCGAGCCGCGUGAGCCAUCGGCCGAUGUUUCUUCGACCGAGGUUCUGUUUAGCACGCCAAGGAUCAAGCAACAGUUCAAGAACUACAAGCAGGCAGAAAGCAUGGUGAUCAAGGCUGACAUUGGAUGCCAGAUACAAGGCGAUGUUGUCAUCGAGUGCAUCCAUGUCGGUGAUGAAGGCCACGAGGAGGUCAUGUUCAGCGUCAUGUUCAGCACUUGCUUUCUGCAGUCCAACAUGACGGUUUUCACUCUGGAGGACAUUGAUCUGCCAUGGAACUGCCACAAGGAGAAAUUUCAAGAGGACUUCAAGAUCGAGGUGUUCUUCUCAGAAGUGGAGCUAUCGGACGCUGAUGAAAGCGAGCUUUCCUCCAUCGGGAACGCAGACGAGUUCUAUGACUUUGACGAGAUACUGAUCGAGGAUUCAUAUUUUGACCAAGAUGAUCGCGGAUCGUACGGUGAAAGUUCGCGGCAAGAUCACUAUGAAGAGCCUAACACUAGCACAGAGCAUAGUGAAACUCGAUCAUCAGAUAGCGCAAGUAACAGUUCAGCAGAGAAAGGAGAGGACGGUGAAACCGGGUCGUCAGAUAGCGCAAGUAACGGUUCAGAUGACAAAGGAAACAUUAGCACCGACGAUGAGGCCGAGUUUAUCCAUGGAGAUGGAGUUGAUGUUACUGGAGAAACCAAUGAUCCUAGAUUAGGGGAAACAGGUUAUGCACUGGAAGCUGGAAGCAUCAGUUCUAUGGCGCCAAUCGUUCCCACAACAAGACAUACAAAUGAAGAGAUGGCAACAGAUAUCCAAGAAAACAGAAGUGAUGAAGGACUAAUACCAAUGCAAGAAGAUGGUCAGAUGGUUACACCCCAGCCUAUGCCGAAAACCAGGCAGAAACAAGCUGCCAUAAUCCCAGCGGUUCCCAUCAUCAGGAAGAAGAUGAGGAGACCAGACACCGGAGCAGAUGACAAGAAGCCUGCAACAUCAAAGACGCUCGUUAGAGGGGGCUCGCAGAAGGGAGCACUUGUUGCAGCUCCUAGUUCUUCCAGUAACAGCACGUCUCAAGCAAGGACAAGCCCAUCUCCUCAAAAACACCAUGAGAUUCCGAGCAGGCUCAAGCAAGGAUCAGCAGCUCAGGUAGUAAGAAUUUCUUCAAACCUUUCCAAAGAACAUCUGAAGCACAGUUCGCAGCAACAAGCAAGAGGAGAUCCGGCGGCUCGAAGGCACUCUGCGAGUGGCACUGCCGCGAGGCCAGAGGUGAAACAAAUAGUUUUCACCCGGCAAGCAUCUUCGUCUUUCGCACCAAGUCCUCUAGGCCGAGAGCGAAGCCAAGAUAACGGCGAAUGCAGCGGCAAUCCCAUGGAGGAAGCCAAGAAACUAGUCAUCCAUUCCUCUGAAAAAACGAGGAGUGGUAGAGCGCCAAAACAAGAAUCACCGGUCGUGGAAACCCCUCCUCGUCGAACAAGCACUCUGAAGAAAUCCAUGUCCUCGCCGGCAAUCUCGGCAACACCGGCCGUUUCUUCUUCCCCGGGAAAGAUUAGGACAACGACUUCGCUCCCCGGGGUGAAGACAUCUCGUCCUAGCUCAGGGUUGCACAUAGCUUCUCCUUCUUCCUCGCCUCGAGGGCAAAAACACAGUGUCACGCCGCCUUCAUCUCCGGGAGGAUCGCCGCUCGCCGGUCUCAGAUUCAGCAGAGCAGCGCCAGUUUCUCAGCCUGAUAUGCAGCAGGGCGCGUCAGCUCCGACCAGGUUGCCUCGCCGUGCAUCAUUCAGCGGGUUAUCCCAAUCUGUAGCGACCUCUAGAGCGGGCGAUGUACACGCUGUAUCGCCAAGAGCAUCUAGAGUCAUCCAGAACCAUCGAGAAGGCGUGAAAGGCAGUGGCAGGAGUUCGUCCCCUUCAUCACCGAGAUUGACAACACAGCCAUGGCCAAAGACCACAACAGUAAUUUCCAUGUCCAGCUCUAAAGACACAAGAAGUGGAACUGCACCGGCAAGGCCAACGAGAUUAAGCUCCUAA